GAUGAACGCUGGCGGCGUGCUUAACACAUGCAAGUCGAACGGAAAGGCUCCUGCUUGCAGGGGUACUCGAGUGGCGAACGGGUGAGUAACACGUGGGUGAUCUGCCCUGCACUUCGGGAUAAGCCUGGGAAACUGGGUCUAAUACCGGAUAGGACGAUGGUUUGGAUGCCAUUGUGGAAAGUUUUUUCGGUGUGGGAUGAGCUCGCGGCCUAUCAGCUUGUUGGUGGGGUAAUGGCCUACGAAGGCGUCGACGGGUAGCCGGCCUGAGAGGGUGUACGGCCACAUUGGGACUGAGAUACGGCCCAGAAGCCUACGGGAGGCAGCAGUGGGGAAUAUUGCACAAUGGGGGCGAGCCUGAUGCAGCGACGCCGCGUGGGGGAUGACGGCCUACGGGUUGUAAACUCCUGUCGCUAGGGACGAAGCGCAAGUGACGGUACCUGGAGAAGAAGCACCGGCUAACUACGUG
rnacentral:rRNA from 1 species